CUUCCUUGCAUUUACUUUUGAACCGUGCUUGCUGGGCAGGGGAUUCAGUCCUGCUUAUUACAGCUCUCUGGGCUUUCACGUGGAGCUUUUGCACGAGCCAUGUCUUGCUGCAUUUCUGCAGCAGAUGGUUGUAGGACAACUGAUGGUAACUUCGUAAAUGACCAGAUUCCCAAAAGAACCUCACCCGACAGUUUUGUGAACUGGAAGUAAAUGGAACUGAGAUUCUGCCAUCAGAGUAUUGGAGGCUUUCUGAGUAUGAAAAAUUUGAGACCUUUGCUUAUUGCUCCAUCAAACAAACACUAAGCCACAAUACAAAUAGUUGGAAAUCAUAUAUGAAGAACCUGGAUUUCAGGUGAUGGGCAUUAAAUAAAGCUUCUUGGACUUA